rnacentral:lncRNA from 1 species
AAUAAUAAAAAAAUUGUUAACAACACUAAAGUGAAUAAUAAGAACUUAAUGUAUAAGAAUAACAUUUCUGACAUUGUUAAUGAAGAAAUUGGAUAUACCCCUAAGUUAAAUUUAACUAAUAAUGUCAUAGUAAAUGAUAUGAACAGAGUAGAUACAACUAUUAUUGGUAAUACUUUAAGUAAUAAUAAGGCCACAUAUUACAGUACCAGUUACAAAUAUAUUCCGAACAGUACAGUAGUGAAUAAUAGCUACUUAUCAACUAAAUUUACUGAUAAUACAAAGAACUGUAACGAUAAAAAAAACUUUGAUAAAAUAAAAAAAGUAGUCAAAUCAGAUAUAAUAUACCCUGUAGCGAAAAAUAAGACGAACUUAACCGAAUAUACUUAUAACAAAAAUGAAAUCACGACUACAUCACCCUUUGCAAAAAUCGUUUCUCUCUUCAAACCGACAACUAUGAAAGAAAAAAAUAAGAAUAAUGUAAUAGUAUCACAUAUAAGUAAUACUAAUAGUGCAUAUGAAAGAAGUCUAAACAAAAAAUUUAAUGUCAAUGAUUAUAUAAAUGAAGAAAAAAAACUAGAGCAGGAAGAAAGUACAAUAUAUGAUAAUACUAACUAUAAUAAUAAUCUUAACGAUAAAGCUAACAAUAACGAAGAGAGUAUAAGUAGUGAAAACAACGAAAAUAGCAUUAAUAAAGAAAACAACGAAAAUAGCAUUAAUAAAGAAAACAACGAAAAUAUCACAAAUAAAGAAAACAACGAAAAUAGCAUAAAUAGAGAAAACAACGAAAAUAAUUAUAAUAAAAUAAAAAUGUUUCGUACACAUAAUAGAUCAAGAUCUGCAGAUAUUUAUCAUCAUUAUAAUAAUAAGUAUUUUAAAAAUUUGGAAGUUUCUAUGAUUAAACCACAUAUGGAGAAAUUUAAGCAUACUGUGAAUAUUGAAGGGUUCAGAAGGAUACUUGGUAAUAUAUUUAUUAAUUAUAAUAAUGGAUUAAAUGAUUUAAACGAUAAUACUUACGCAGCACUCACUAAAAUUGACAAUGUGCAUUUAACUAAUGAUGAAACCAAUUUAAAUGUACAUAUGAAUAAACAAAAUGAGAUAAAGAAAUGUACACCUGAUGAUAUAGCUGUUACACCAAUUAUACAAAGUGGUUCAGUUUUAUCGGAUACACUUACCAUGUAUUGUACAUCAACAUUUUCUACUUCUUCCACUUUAUCUGCUUCUCCCACAUUUUCAUGUUCACAAAGUCCUUCUUUUGUACCAACAAGUUCUACAAUAAACAAUAAUGAAAACUUAAAAAGUUGUAAUGAAAAAGAAGAAAAUCAUGAAUUUGUUUUAAAUAAAAAAGAAGACUUAGCAAAUCAAAAUUUAAGCUAUGAACAGAAAUGUAAUAAAACGCAGAAGACUACUACUGAUUUAAAUGAUGUCCAUGUU